rnacentral:rRNA from 1 species
GUCAGGCGGGGCCACCCGCCGAAUUUAAGCAUAUAAAUAAGCGGAGGAGAAGAAACUUACGAGGAUUCCCCUAGUAACGGCGAGCGAACCGGGAUCAGCCCAGCUUGAGAAUCGGGCGGCCGCGCCGUCCGAAUUGUAGUCUGGAGAAGCGUCCUCAGCGACGGACCGGGCCCAAGUCCCCUGGAAAGGGGCGCCGGGGAGGGUGAGAGCCCCGUCCG